rnacentral:rRNA from 1 species
GAGUUUGAUCCUGGCUCAGAUUGAACGCUGGCGGCAUGCCUUACACAUGCAAGUCGAACGGCAGCACGGGAGCUUGCUCCUGGUGGCGAGUGGCGAACGGGUGAGUAAUGCAUCGGAACGUAUCCUGGAGUGGGGGAUAACGUAGCGAAAGUUACGCUAAUACCGCAUAUUCUGUGAGCAGGAAAGCGGGGGACCUUCGGGCCUCGCGCUCUUGGAGCGGCCGAUGUCGGAUUAGCUAGGUUGGUUGAGGUAAAGGCUCACCAAGGCGACGAUCCGUAGCAGGUCUGAGAGGAUGAUCUGCCACACUGGAACUGAGACACGGUCCAGACUCCUACGGGAGGCAGCAGUGGGAAUUUUGGACAAUGGGGCAACCCUGAUCCAGCCAUGCCGCGUGAGUGAAGAAGGCC